rnacentral:rRNA from 1 species
UACGUAGGGGCCUAGCGUUGUCCGGAUUUAUUGGGCGUAAAGGGUGCGUAGGUGGCAUGGUAAGUCGGGUGUGAAAUCCCGGGGCUCAACCCCGGAACUGCACUCGAUACUGCCGUGCUCGAGUACUGGAGAGGAGACUGGAAUUUACGGUGUAGCAGUGAAAUGCGUAGAUAUCGUAAGGAAGACCGGUGGCGAAGGCUAGUCUCUGGACAGUUACUGACACUGAGGCACGAAGGCCAGGGGAGCAAACGGG